CCCACGCCGAAAGACCAAGGUUUCCUGCGCAACGUUAAUCGACGCAGGGUUAGUCGGUCCCUAAGGCGAGGCUGAAAAGCGUAGUCGAUGGAAAACAGGUUAAUAUUCCUGUACUUCUGGUUAUUGCGAUGGAGGGACGGAGAAGGCUAGGCCAGCUUGGCGUUGGUUGUCCAAGUUUAAGGUGGUAGGCUGAAAUCUUAGGUAAAUCCGGGGUUUCAAGGCCGAGAGCUGAUGACGAGUUACCUUUCAGGUAACGAAGUGGUUGAUGCCAUGCUUCCAAGAAAAGCUUCUAAGCUUCAGGUAACCAGGAACCGUACCCCAAACCGACACAGGUGGUUGGGUAGAGAAUACCAAGGCGCUUGAGAGAACUCGGGUGAAGGAACUAGGCAAAAUGGCACCGUAACUUCGGGAGAAGGUGCGCCGGUGAGGGUGAAGGACUUGCUCCGUAAGCUCAUGCCGGUCGAAGAUACCAGGCCGCUGCGACUGUUUAUUAAAAACACAGCACUCUGCAAACACGAAAGUGGACGUAUAGGGUGUGACGCCUGCCCGGUGCCGGAAGGUUAAUUGAUGGGGUUAGCUAACGCGAAGCUCUUGAUCGAAGCCCCGGUAAACGGCGGCCGUAACUAUAACGGUCCUAAGGUAGCGAAAUUCCUUGUCGGGUAAGUUCCGACCUGCACGAAUGGCGUAACGAUGGCGGCGCUGUCUCCACCCGAGACUCAGUGAAAUUGAAAUCGCUGUGAAGAUGCAGUGUAUCCGCGGCUAGACGGAAAGACCCCGUGAACCUUUACUAUAGCUUUGCACUGGACUUUGAAUUUGCUUGUGUAGGAUAGGUGGGAGGCUUUGAAGCGUGGACGCCAGUUCGCGUGGAGCCAUCCUUGAAAUACCACCCUGGCAACUUUGAGGUUCUAACUCAGGUCCGUUAUCCGGAUCGAGGACAGUGUAUGGUGGGUAGUUUGACUGGGGCGGUCUCCUCCUAAAGAGUAACGGAGGAGUACGAAGGUGCGCUCAGACCGGUCGGAAAUCGGUCGUAGAGUAUAAAGGCAAAAGCGCGCUUGACUGCGAGACAGACACGUCGAGCAGGUACGAAAGUAGGUCUUAGUGAUCCGGUGGUUCUGUAUGGAAGGGCCAUCGCUCAACGGAUAAAAGGUACUCCGGGGAUAACAGGCUGAUACCGCCCAAGAGUUCAUAUCGACGGCGGUGUUUGGCACCUCGAUGUCGGCUCAUCACAUCCUGGGGCUGAAGCCGGUCCCAAGGGUAUGGCUGUUCGCCAUUUAAAGUGGUACGCGAGCUGGGUUUAGAACGUCGUGAGACAGUUCGGUCCCUAUCUGCCGUGGACGUUUGAGAUUUGAGAGGGGCUGCUCCUAGUACGAGAGGACCGGAGUGGACGAACCUCUGGUGUUCCGGUUGUCACGCCAGUGGCAUUGCCGGGUAGCUAUGUUCGGAAUAGAUAACCGCUGAAAGCAUCUAAGCGGGAAACUAGCCUCAAGAUGAGAUCUCACUGGAACCUUGAGUUCCCUGAAGGGCCGUCGAAGACUACGACGUUGAUAGGUUGGGUGUGUAAGCGCUGUGAGGCGUUGAGCUAACCAAUACUAAUUGCCCGUGAGGCUUGACCAUAUAACACCCAAGCAAUU
rnacentral:rRNA from 1 species